rnacentral:rRNA from 1 species
CCUACGGGUGGCAGCAGUGGGGGAUAUUGCACAAUGGGGGAAACCCUGAUGCAGCGACGCCGCGUGUGGGAAGACGGUCUUCUGGAUUGUAAACCACUGUCCCCAGGGACGAAAAUGACGGUACCUGGGGAGGAAGCUCCGGCUAACUACGUGCCAGCAGCCGCGGUAAUACGUAGGGAGCAAGCGUUGUCCGGAAUUACUGGGUGUAAAGGGAGCGUAGGCGGGGAUGCAAGUUGGGUGUCAAAACUACCGGCUCAACCGAUAGUCGCACUCAAAACUGCAACUCUUGAGUGAAGUAGAGGCAGGCGGAAGUCCUAGUGUAGCGGUGAAAUGCGUAGAUAUUAGGAGGAACACCAGUGGCGAAGGCGGCCUGCUGGGCUUUUACUGACGCUGAGGCUCGAAAGUGUGGGGAGCAAACAGGAUUAGAUACCCGGGUAGUC